GUUCCCGUAGCACAAUGGAUAGUGCACCCGCCUCCUAAGCGGGGGAUCCAGAUUCGAAUUCUGGCGGGGACG
rnacentral:tRNA from 1 species